UCACCAAACACCAACUGAUCACCUAAGUACACUAUGUAUACAAACCCUCGUGGUUUCUACUUUUAAAGAGCACAAAUAAAACUGUGAAGACAUACCUGGGUACAAGUACCUAGAAUAAGGAGGUAUUUGCUAAGUCUCAUAAAAGGUGAAAAAAAAUUGCAUGGAUGUUUACAACAUGUAGAGGUCUCUUUCAGAGGAGAAAUACCUGUGCAAACUAGGUGGCAUUUUCAUCGGAAUGUGUAAAACAGUGAGCAAACAUGAAGUUUGGAAAGCACAAAGCAAAAAGCUUCUGGGGAGAAGUGAGAGAUAAAACUGGAAAGGUAUUUUGGGGCCAUAUCUGGAGCAGGGCUUGAAUCCUAAAAAGAGUUAAAAAUGAUUGGAAAAGGGGCUGUGUGGGAUGAGCAGUGAGUCAGCAAGAGAUGAAUAAAAGAAGUGCUGAGCAGAAAGGACAGCUCAGUUAAAGUGAACAAGCAUAAAUUUGUGGCAGACUCAAUCAGUGCAGCUUUCUCUAGCAGCACUCUUCAGCCUAGCUAGGAAAUAUUUAGAAGUUCAAGGUCCAUGGGAAAUUUUAGGCAAUAAGUGAAGGCACUGCUGAGUCGGCUGACCAUGAAAACAAGCUAGACGGAAGAAAUAAAGUUGGAAGUUAACAGACAAGAAGAAAAAGAGCAGAGUCAGGGUUGUGAUGAGAAGGAAGACCAGGAUUAGUAUGAGAAAGAAAUUUAGAAUGGCUGACAUUAAAGAGAUUGUGGAAGAGGCAAGAUACUCAGAAUUGGAGAUUCAUAGAUGAUGAGAUCCAAGGAUGGAGAGGAGUUGGGGAUCAUUGGUGUCAAGGAGGCUUGUGGACUCUUGCUCAUCUACCAAACAAAGAUGUUUGAUGAAAUGUUCCCUUCUGCUAUGGGGUGAUUCCAGCAGGAAGAGGCAGACUCCUAAGCAGCAUAGUCUCACUCAGAGCUGUCACUUGUGGCUGAGCCAUCACAGAACACUGUUUGACUUCUCCCGGCCUUUUGAAAUCUUACUGUCUGCAAGGAGUCUUACAAUACAAGCUAAAAGUUCUUGUGUGAGAAUCUGAUGCUUGGAGCUGAAGUAGCUAUAGUGUGACCAUGAAGGGAAGGUCAGGGAAGUCGUGGAAAACCAUUCCAGAGGCCUGACAUUGCAGAACUAUUGAAGCAACCAUGGAAACUCCUGCUGAAAAUCUUCUUUAUGUGAAAGGAAAAUUAAAUCCUGAUGUUUAAAGCUACUUUUAGUUUGUUUUUGUGUUAGUUUCAACCAAAACUAGCUUCAGCCUGACACCAGAAGCUACAAUGAUGCUGGUGAAAGGUAGCAAUUUCCAGGAUGGUGCUAAUGAAUUUGGAAGUAAUGGGAUGCUUGUUUGUUUGUUUGUUUUUGUUGUUUUUGUUUUUAGAGACAGGGUCUUGCUCUGUCACCUAGGCUGGAGUGCACUGGAGCAACCAUAGCUCACUGCAGCCUUGACUUCUUGCGCUCAAGAAACACUCCUGCCUCAACCUCCUGCAUAGUUGAGGCUACUGGCUUGUGCCACCAUGCCAAGCUAAAUUAUUUUUAUUAUUUGAAGAGAUGAUGGUAAGGCUAGGUUUCCCAGGAUGGUCUCAAACUCUUGGCCUCAGCCAAUCCUUCUGCCUCAGUCUCCCAAAGUGCUGAGAUUUCAGGUGGGGAUGUGUGCAAGACAUGAGAUAAAAUAAAGGGAACCCCAUGGACUGAUUUAUCA
rnacentral:lncRNA from 13 species